AUGCAUGGAGCACAGUGGAUGGCGUACAGUGCCAGACAGAGCAGCAAGGCGGCAGCUUUGCUUACAGGUGAUGGAGCCCCUUGCUUUGGAAUGGCACCCACCACCAAUGGAGGUGCUCUUGUGUUCGUAAGCAGAGCAGAAUGCAUUUACAUUGGUAAAUAUCCCUUCCUGAAAUAUCAUUGCUCAUUCUUUCCUUUUCUUUCCUUUUUUUUUUUUUUAAACAUCAAUGUUUGCAGAGCCAUCAACCAUCCCAGAGCAAUCUGUCUUGCUUGUCUGUGCUCAGCUGUGAAAAUGCAUCUUGAUCUCCUUCUUAUUCCCCAAAGUCAUGACUCUAGCAUAAAAGCAGACCUUUCGUACUAAUUGCCCUGGUAUUUUCUUGUCCCUAAAGCACAUGAUGCCCAGACCACAGUCUCAAAAAGAAAAAUAGUAUUGAAUAUUUCAGUUAAAUGCAAAAUUAUGCUUUCCAUUCUUCUCCCAGCUAAGGUAGGACAAGGAUUUCUUUUUUUCUCUUCUUUUCUUUUCUUUUCUCUUCUUUUCUUUCUUUCUUUUCUUUUUCUUUUGUCUUUUUAGGGCUGCACCUGCAGCAUAUAGAGGUUCCCAGGCUAGGGGUCAAAUCAGAGCUAUAGCUGCCAGCCUACACCACAGCCACAGUAACGCAGGAUCCGACCUGCAUCUACAACCUACACUGCAACUCAGCAAUGCCAGAUCCUUACUCCACUGAGCGAAGCCAGGGUUCGAACCCGAGUCCUCAUGCACUAGUUGGGUUUGUUACCGUUGAGCCACAACAGGAACUCCAGGACUAGGAUUUCUGAAAGGCCAGGAUAUCUAGAAGUCUUCUAAUAACUCAGAGCAGAGGAAACACAGUGCUUUUAUUUCCUUUGUCUAACUAAAGGAUGCAGUCAAAUUCAUGUUUUCCACUUCCAUAUUUUCAAAAUAUAUUCUCCUUGGGAUACGGGUACUGUCUUAUAUUUAGAAUAUAUUUUCUUGGAGUUCAUAAGUUGCAAUUGAUUAAUAAUACCCUCUUUGGUCAGCUUCUGAGAUGAGCUCUGAUCUUCGUGUACUGUGUAUAAUUGCUCAGUAGUUUAAGAUCACUUUUUCUUGCCCCAUUAAAACGUUAGAAAACAAACAAAUCUAACUGAAUGGUUUUCCCUAAGCUAUUUAUACUAAGUUAAUAAUCUAUUAAUAAUAUGUAACGGGAGUUAACACUGAAAUAGAAAAACACACAUUAUUUUGACAAAUUACCCUCAGGGUCUGAUAAGCCUUAACUAAUUAUUUAUGUACGGGAAAGUGCAAUCUGGUAAACAAAUACACUGAGCCUUGUGAAACAGUGCUCAAAUUUGGUCCCAAUUCCUCCCACACC
rnacentral:lncRNA from 1 species